rnacentral:rRNA from 1 species
CACGUAGGGGGCAAGCGUUGUCCGGAUUUAUUGGGCGUAAAGAGCUCGUAGGCGGUUCGGUAAGUCGGGUGUGAAACCUCCAGGCUCAACCUGGAGACGCCACCCGAUACUGCUGUGACUAGAGUCCGGUAGGGGAGCGUGGAAUUCCUGGUGUAGCGGUGAAAUGCGCAGAUAUCAGGAGGAACACCAGCGGCGAAGGCGGCGCUCUGGGCCGGAACUGACGCUGAGGAGCGAAAGCGUGGGGAGCAAACAGG